GAACUCCGACUCCCUUUCAUAUCGUAGAAAUCUUUCGCCUUUUACUAAGGAUUUCGUGGAGGGGAGCACUCAAAGGAGUCUAGAAAUUUAAUUUUUUCAAUUGUCUGACCUUUCUGAUCGGGCU